rnacentral:lncRNA from 1 species
GGCAAUUAUUAGUUCUCGCUUCAAGGUGCUCUGAACUCCGUCCAGAGUUAACACAUUUUCUUCACUCAGCUCCGCCCUUCGCUGAGCUGGGGACUAGGUCCACGAGUGCAGGGAGUCCCGCAGAGACACUAACUCUGUCCGGGAGAGAGAUGAAAACUCCGCCCUCCACGAGUUUACUCCUUCCUUCCUCUUCAGGCUACACCCCAACCCCGUUACAAGCCACGCCCCCUCCCCGAGUCUGAGAUGGAUGGCAGAUAGUGAGUGAAGUCACUCAGUCGUGUUCGACUCUUUCUGACUCCAUGGACUGUAGCCUACCAGGCGCCUCAGUCCAUGGAAUUUUCCAGGUAAGAGUACUGGAGUGGGUUGCCAUUUCCUUCUCCAGGUGAUCUUCCCAACCCAGGGAUCGAACCCGUGUCUCCUGCAUUGCAGGCAGACACUUUACUGCCUGAGCCACCAGGGAAGGCUCCCCGAGUACCCGCCCCCCCAUCCGCCGCCAAAUCGCAGAGGCGGGGCCCCAAGCCGGCCUCCCCAGGGAAGAGCUCCGCCCACAUCGGGCUAACACGCCUUCCCUUCACACUGAGAUAAUGGCCCAACUCUAAAGAGCCCCAGGUCCCUCCGGCUAAAAAUGCCCGGGAGUCCCGCCCACCCAGAGAGGGCUUCUCUCUCGGGCUUUGAACACGAGCAUCAGCCACGCAGAGAACGGAGCCCAACCUCUCCGCUCGAGUUCCGCCUCUCGUUAAUUACAGCCCCGCCCACCGUCAGGCCCCGCCUUCUCGGGACCGAAGGCUCCGCCGCUCCGGACCCGGGACUCUCCGAGGUCGCUCACUGCUGGUGGGUGUGAUCAAGGCCAGGAUGCCGUUGGAGCCGGCCCUGGUGCUCUCUCCUUCCCUGCCCCCGGUUUCCAGUCGUCAAGAUCGCGGGUUCUCUGGAAUGCGCUCGGAGUCAGUUGUCAGGAGUCCCGCGGACGGCGUCCAGAAGUGGGCCUUUGGCGCCACCUGUCUUCGGUGCUUGCAGCCACUAGCAAAGCACAGCACUGCUCAAUGAACAAUUGCUUCUCUAAUAUCUGCCGAUUCCCCCCAGCAGAACAGCAGAUCUGCUCUCAUCGUAUUUGGAAGACACCGAGAGGGCUUCACCCUGGCCCUCAAGCUGAGUGGUCUUUGUGUCUUUAUAGCAGCUUGGGGUCCUUCCUCUUGAAUCCCGUUUCCCAGGGACAAAAGCACAACCUCUCACCUGGGGGCCAAGAAUUGUUAGAGAGCAGAGCCAGUGAAUAG